AUUAAGACUCAAAAAUAAAACAGAAACAAUCCAGUGAAAACAAGUCAUUUUCAUUUGAUGUCUUUAGAAAUGUCCACCCUUAUCCUCAGGAAUUCAGAAAUAGACUCCGACAGUACUGGUUUUUCCAUGUGACACCUCAGCAAAAACAUCUCUGGCCAAAACAGCUGGACCACAGGAGGUGAUUGAUUGUACGUCAGAUCAGAAUCAAUGAAACAAAUAGCCAUGUUGUAAUGGAGCUCUCUCAAGGGCUGAAACGUUGAAACACUUCUACCCAGCUAUCGGGUGAAAGUCAAAGCCUAUUCAAUUCGAAGAAAUAGCCCCUCAAGUUUAGUUUAUAUUUGUACUUCUAGCAGGCGACACUGGAUAAGUCACUUUGCAUACUGUUAGGGCUUAUUCUGAUAUUUUAAAACCUGACACAGGAACUAAGUUUCUGGAUCAAUGAGAUAAUGUGUUAACCAUAUUAAAGACUCUUCCUCCACACAGAAUACCGCCAAGAAGUAAACGUGUAUUAUGUCAGUGUUAAUUACAGUUAACCCAUUGUUCCUUUAUUAAAUGAAAUAGAACACGGGUGAGCCCACAAGGGCACAUCUCUGAAAUGCAAAUAACCUAUGGGAAGGAAAAUCCUGCUG